CUGUUUAAGAAAAAAAAAAUAAAUUGAGUAGCCUAUAUAUUGUAACUCCAACCAAAUGUAUUUCUCUGUGAACUGUGAAAGGUUCUGCCUGUGCCUUUCUUGAUCUGCUCCUAAAAAUGGAAUAUUCUGUGUGUGAGUUCAUUUACACCAGAGAGCUGCUUCUGAUUUACUCUCAUGCAAGUUAGAACAGCAGUUAGAUCAGGAUUUCAGUUUUAGCAUGCAGACUGCUACAACUGGAAACUCCAAAAAGGCAUUGUAAGAGGAAAGGAUGUGAAGCUCCAUUUUUUGUAUUUCUCAGAAUAUAGUAACGUUACAAAGGGAGCGAGAGCUGGAAGAAACAUUCUCAGUGCUACUUGUUUAAUGCAAGAGUGCAAUUUCUGCUCCAUCGGUCAUCUGAAAUUUCCUACCAAAACGUGUGCAGGAAGCCCAGGAUCGACGUCCUUUAUUAAAAGCUCAGACGUGGUUGGGCCCAGCUGUAGAGAUGAUUUGUUACUCGAGAAGGUUUAUUAACUGGCUGGGGAACACUCCUCUCCCGUUUUAUAUCAGCCGACAGAGCCUAUGUCUGAUAAAGGACUGAUAACAUUUCUUCAGAGGCGCUACCAGCGAGCGAUUAGAACAGUACACACGCUUUUCCCCUUGCCCUUGGCGUUUGAUGACAGUAAAUUAUUGCCGAAGUGUGAAGGCAUUGCUCA